rnacentral:rRNA from 1 species
GUUUGAUCCUGGCUCAGGAUGAACGCUGGCGGCGUGCCUAAUACAUGCAAGUCGAACGCACAGCGAAAGGUGCUUGCACCUUUCAAGUGAGNGNCNAACGGGUGAGUAACACGUGGACAACCUGCCUCAAGGCUGGGGAUAACAUUUGGAAACAGAUGCUAAUACCGAAUAAAACUCAGUGUCGCAUGACACAAAGUUAAAAGGCGCUUUGGCGUCACCUAGAGAUGGAUCCGCGGUGCAUUAGUUAGUUGGUGGGGUAAAGGCCUACCAAGACAAUGAUGCAUAGCCGAGUUGAGAGACUGAUCGGCCACAUUGGGACUGAGACACGGCCCAAACUCCUACUGGAGGCUGCAUUAGGGAAUCUUCCACAAUGGGCGAAAGCCUGAUGGACCAACACCACGUGUGUGAUGAAGGAUUUCUGGUCGUAAAGCACUGUUGUAUCGG